AACCAGGCGGCGUUUAUGCUUGGCGCUUUCUGCUCCAUGAGUGUUUAAAUAGCCGCAGUACCUUGACUGUGCAAAGGUAGCAUAAUCAAUUGGCUUAUAAUUGAAGUCUAGUAUGAAUGAAGGAAUGGGUGAGUCCUGUCUCCAGGAAAGGGAUGAACUUGACUGACAAGUGAAAAUGCUUGUAGGUAGAUAAAAGACGAGAAGACCCUAGAAAUUUUUUUAAUGAUAUGUGUUACUCUCAUGUAUUUUGUUUUGCUGGGGCGGCAGGGUAACAUAAAACCUACCUUUAAAAUUAGCAGUUUAUGUACAGCAGAAACAGAAUUACUCUAGGGAUAACAGCAUUAUUUUACAAAGUUUGUGACCUCGAUGUUGGACUAGGGACAGUAAUAUUCAGAAKAGAUUAUCGCGCGUUCUGUUCGAACGUUGUCCCCUACAUG
rnacentral:rRNA from 1 species